GAACUUGCUGAUGCACACGUGGGGCGUUGGGGUGUGUCUACACGUCUUUCCUGACCAGCCAUUCACUUUUCAGGCCGUCAUUCAGAUUGGAUAGGAAAAAGUUGGUGAGGAAGGAAGGAGAGAGCAGGAUGCCGUGAUUCCCUGGCCCCUAGGGCAACUCCUUGACUGUCACUUGUAAUUGUAUAUAAUUUUUGUGUUUCUUGCUUCAUUUCCUCAUGCUGUCUUCCUUAGUCUAAAGUCCAUGUGGGAAGGGGAAAAUGCCGAAUAUCCUUGUAUAGUUUCCUCAACCGUCCCAGACAUGUUGUACAUAGAUAUGUCAUGCACCCAGUCAUCUUCAAAGCUAAGGAAACAAAGAAACAAGCUACUUUUUGUAGAUGCCACCUGCUCCCACAGCAUGAAGUGCAUAGCUUCCGUGGCAGAAAAGGGUCAUUUGAAAUUCAGUUUGCUUUGAUUAAACCUAGAAUAUUAAGUCC
rnacentral:lncRNA from 1 species